CUCGUACCUACGGGACCACCUCUCCCGGUAUGCCCCACAGAGAGCCUCAAGGUCCAUAAAUAGCAACACCCUAGAGGUCCCGGGCCCUAAGGAAGUUAGAUUAUCUUCAACCAGAGCCAGGGCCUUUUCAACACUGGCCCCGGCCUGGUGGAACGCUCUGCCUCAUGAGACCAGGGCCCUGCAGGAUCUGAUUUCUUUCCGCAGGGCCUGUAAGACAGAGUUGUUCCGCCUGGCCUUUGGCUUGGAGCCAAUUUGAUUCCCCCCCCCCCUCUUUUCUCCUUUCCUUUCUCCUCCUGCGAUGAGGCUACAUUUUAAUAUUUUAAUGUUUCAAUAUUUUAAUGUUGUAUUUUAAUGUUGUUUUUAAGUUGUAUUCAUUCAACUUGUUUUUAUUAUUGCUUGUUAGCCGCCCUGAGCCCGGCCUUGGCUGGGGAGGGCGGGGUAUAAAUAAAAAGUAUUAUUCUUAUUGUUAUUAGGUGGGCCGCUGGCCUGAUCCAGCAGGCUCUGGAAACCCGCAAACUGGUAUUCAGAAGCAUAGCCACCUCCUACCACCUGCUGGGUAACUGAGCCUAAAAGGGUAAAAGUAAAGGGACCCCUGACCAUUAGGUCCAGUCGUGGCCAACUCUGGGGUUGUGGCGCUCAUCUCGCUUUACUGGCCGAGGAAGCCGGCGUACAGCUUCCGGGUCAUGUGGCCAGCAUGGCGAACCAGAGCAGCGCACGGAAACGCCGUUUACCUUCCCGCCGGAGGGGUGCCUAUUUUUCUACUUGCACUUUGACGUGCUUUCGAACUGCUAGGUUGGCAGGAGCAGGGACCGAGCAACGGGAGCUCACCCCGUCGCGGGGCUUUGAACCGCUGACCUUCUGAUCGGCAAGUCCUAGGCUCUGUGGUUUAACCCACAGCGCCACCCGCGUCCCCAACUUAGCCUACCCAGCCCUUAUUAUUUCCCAUAAUGCCCAGAAUGAUGCCCGGGGCAUCAGGGGCAACUGGAACCGAAGCUCGCCCCCGCUGCUUGGAGCGGCACACAAAGCAAAGCUCAUGGGGCUGGAGAGCAUCAGUAGUUGUGGCCGCAACAUCUGCCCACAGGUGCUAGGUGCCGGCGAUGGCUUUGGUACACUGCAAGGCAGCCUUUGCCAACCAGGUGCCCUCCAGGUGUUGCUGAUGGGAGCUCUAGUCCAAAACCUCUGGAAGGCAACAGUUUGGCCAAAAGUUUCCACGGGGGACUGCUCCCCCGAACGAUGUGUGCGUCAUUCUUAUCAGUUGCAGGCGACAAGGAUACUCAAAUCCUCCCAUAAUGGGAAAACUGCUUUCUUCGUUUUGUUAGAGCGUGAUGCUGAUAAGGUUGCAGGUUCAAUCCCAGCUACAUAUUAUCGCAUUGCAGGGGGUUUGGCUAGAUCAUUUUUUAUUUUUUUUCUUCUUCUUGGUUUUCACAUAUUAAUUUAAAAUACAGAUGUACCAAAACCAAACCAUUUGCUCCCCAUCCCCCCAUACAUUUACAUUUCUGUUUCCUCAAUCCAUCAUAUUAUUCUUUUCUCCUUCCUCCCACUUUCCUCCACCCCCACUCAAUUUCCUCCACACUAUACAAUUUACAAUAAUCUUUGCAUUCUGCAACCUUCUCAAAUCAUCUAUAUGUUCUUAUUAUCUUUCCUUACUAAUUUUUCUUCCAUCUAGUACUUCACAUUUUAAUCUAGGCAUAUUAGCAUAUCUUUUUUUGAGCAAUAUUUUGCCAUAUAUUAAAUGCAUCUUUGGGUUAUUUGUAGGGCCUGCCAGGUGUCUUUACAUGAGUAGAAUUUGUGCUUUUAUUUAAAAUGCAUCUCUGGGUUAUUUGUUGGGCAUAGGAAUUUGUUCAUUAUGUUUUUCCAAAAUAUAGUCCGGCCCCCCACAAGGUCUGAGGGAUGGUGGACCGGCCCCCUGCUGAAAAAGUUUGCUGACCCCUGGGCUAGAUGAUCCUCAGGGUCCUUUCCAACUCUACAGUUCUGUGAUUCCUGGCUAUUCUUCCCUCACAGGACAGUUGUAAGGAAAACGCAAGAUGCCAUUGUGUGGUCGCACCAUAGCUGUCAAGUGUCCCUUAUUUGGCGGGACAGUCCCUUAUCCCAGCGCCAUGUCCCACUGCUGUCGCUUAUUGAUGAGGCUACAUUUGGCUGCUGGCUGGGCUUUCUGCCUUUGGCUCAGAGGGGCUCAGAAGUUGAACAUACCUGUGCCCAGAAAAUCCCUUAUUUUGGCUGCUGAUCCCUUAUUUCCGAGGCUGCUGGUCCCUUAUUUUCAAAUCUGUAAGCUGACAGCUAUGGGUCGCACACUUCAACGGACAGGAGCGAGUCCCGGGAUUAUAAGUGGUGGUGCCGUGGUUAGGGGUGUUGGUCCAGGACUGGGAAGGACCAGGUUUAAAUUCUUGCUUACAGGGCACGCUUGGGCCUCCAGUCGCUCUUAGCCUAACCUGCCUCACAGGGUGGAAAGAGAGGGGGGGGCAUUGAGAAUCAAGCGUACCUUAAGCUCAAUGGAAUAAUAAUAAUAAUAUUUUAUUUAUAUCCCGCCCUCCCCAGCCAAAGCCGGGCUCAGACGGCUAACAACAAUAAAAGUAGCACAAUUUACAUAAAAUCACAAUCAAUUAAUUGAAAUGCAUUCUAAAAUCAACUCCUUCUAAAAUAGAAGAGUGGGGCUUCAAAUUGUAAUAAAGAGGAAAAGAAAUAGCAUCUGAAGGUGGGCUCCAUCACUGUCCUGUCUUACUCACCUUCAUUUGUUUCCCCCCAGGAUACAUAAUUAACUCCUCAUUUUGCCUGUUGGAGUCAUUUUUGCUGUGCAGCCAAGAUGGUGAGUAGCCGUCAGAGGUUGGCGAGUCUUGUUCUUUCUGUGAUCCCUCCCGGGCAUUUUCUAUAGUCUGUUGUUAUUUUGUUUAUUAUUGUUAACGGAAAAAUCCCAGGGCUCCCUUGGACAAAAACAAAGACACCAACCAGGAUUCCUUGGAGCAAAACAGCAGCCUGUAGGCUUGGUCUUUAUUGAUCUGUUGCAACAGGGUGCUCCCCUCACCUGCAGGAGAGAGGAAGGACCCAGAAAAAUGGCGUGCAAGACCUUAUAAAGACUUUUGAAAUUGCCACCCUGUAGAUCAAGACCACCCCCAGAAACAUCAUACAUACAUCACAG